UUUUAUUCAAAUAAUAUAAAAAAUAAAAUAUAUAUAUUGACAUGGAUUAAACAAAGAUAUAUAUUAUUCUAUGUUGUAUAAACAAAUUGGCAGAAUAGAGAUGGAAGAUAAAAAUAUGGUCAAAGUAAUAAGAGUCUAUGGUGAAUGCCUAGGAGCUUUAAGGCGAAGAAGGUCGUGGUAAGCUGCGAAAAGCUUGGGGGAGAAGCAAACAUUUAUUGAUCCCAAGAUUACCGAAUGGAGUAAUCCAGCUAGCAAGAUGCUAGCUAUCUAUUAUUUAAAUAAUAGAGGCGAUACC
rnacentral:misc_RNA from 1 species